GCCUGGGUGGCUCAGUCGGUUGAGUAUCUGACUUCAGCUCAGGUCAUGAUCUAGGUUCGUGAGUUCAAGCCCCACAUCAGGUU
rnacentral:tRNA from 1 species